rnacentral:lncRNA from 1 species
ACUGAAGCCCAACAGUUCCCAGAAUUCUGACACGGAGGCAUGUGCCUAUGAGAUCUUCUUUUCAGGCCUCCAUCCUUCCUGGCCCACCUUCAGUACUGAGGAAUUACAGCAGAAAACAUGAAGAAUUGGUGCUUGCUGACUUGCCUGGGAUUGUAAGUUGUAUCCUGGUACUCUGAGCCUCAUGGAUUUGGGAAGGGAAAUUCUCCCUCAAUGGAACGACUUCCAUCCAAGACUGUUCUGCUCUUCAUCUCCAGAAAGAAGCAAAGGACCUCAAAUCUCAGCAUGUACACCAGUAGGAUCAGGCUGAACAGUUUCAAGCAUUGUGUUUCAGUCCUCAGAGCCACCAUACAAGGCCUCUGUGGAAGACUCCAUUAGCUGACAGAGGACCUGGAAUGGCUGCCACCUGAAGGCCAGGGCUGCCCCUCCAGUGUCUCUGAAGCUUGAGGCAGAACAGGAACACUUGGCCACAGCUGGUUCAGGUCUGUGUUUUGGAUGAGCCCUGAGACCUGGAUGAACAGAGGUCUCUAGAAUUCUGGUGAAGGUGACCACAAACACUUAGACUUGAGGAGAAUAAUAGAUCUUUGGGAUGAACAUCUUUCUUUUUUAUUUAUGUUUGCAACGUGCAUACUUUAUGUCAAUAACAAAGGCACCCUAGUUU